rnacentral:rRNA from 1 species
CUGGGCGUAAGGGUAUGUAGGCGGACUAAUAAGUCUGUUGUGAAAUGCUAAGGCUUAACCUUGGAAUUGCAAUGGAAACUGUUAGACUAGAGUUUGGAAGAGGUAAAUGGAAUUAGUAGUGUAGGGGUAAAAUCCGUAGAUAUUACUAGGAAUACCAAAAGCGAAGGCGAUUUACUGGAACGAUACUGACGCUAAUGUACGAAAGCGUGGGGAGCGAACGGGAUUAGAUACCCCGGUAGUCCACGCCCUAAACGAUGAAUGCUAAUCGUUGGAAGGCUAGAACUUUCAGUGAUGCAGUUAACACAUUAAGCAUUCCGCCUGGGGAGUACGGUCGCAAGAUUAAAACUCAAAGGAAUAGACGGGGACCCGCACAAGUGGUGGAGCAUGUGGUUUAAUUCGAAGAUACACGAAGAACCUUACCUGGGCUUGACAUGGUUAGGAUGCUUAAGAGAUUAGGUAGUGCYUACUUUGUARGAGCUAACACACAGGUGCUGCACGGCUGUCGUCAGCUCGUGUCGUGAGAUGUUGGGUUAAGUCCCGCAACGAGCGCAACCCUCGUAUUUAGUUGCUAACAGGUUAUGCYGAGCACUCUAAAUAGACUGCCCUCGCAAGGGGGAGGAAGGUGAGGACGACGUCAAGUCAUCAUGGCCCUUAUGUCCAGGGCUACACACGUGCUACAAUGGGGUGUACAAAGAGAUGCGAGAUCGCAAGAUUGAGCGAAUCUCCAAAAGCACCUCUCAGUUCGGAUUGCAGUCUGCAACUCGACUGCAUGAAGUUGGAAUCACUAGUAAUCGUAAAUCAGCGAUGUUACGGUGAAUACGUUCCCGGGUCUUGUACUCACCGCCCGUCACACCAUGGGAGUUGAUUUCACCCGAAGCCGGGNUGCUUACCUGCAAAGGANGCUACCGUCCACGGUGGAAUUAGCGACUGGGGUGAAGUCGUAACAAGGUAGCCAUCUUUCUAGAANAUC